rnacentral:rRNA from 1 species
CAGAAAGCUUGCUUUCUUGCUGACGAGCGGCGGACGGGUGAGUAAUGUAUGGGGAUCUGCCCGAUAAAGGGGGAUAACUACUGGAAACGGUGGCUAAUACCGCAAAAUGUCUACGGACCAAAGCAGGGGCUCUUCGGACCUUGCACUAUCGGAUGAACCCAUAUGGGAUUAUCUAGUAAGUGGGGUAAAGGCUCACCUAGGCGACGAUCUCUAGCUGGUCUGACAAGAUGAUCAGCCACUCUGGGACUGAGACACGGCCCAGACUCCUACAGGAGGCAGCAAUGGGGAAUAUUGCACAAUGGGCGCAAGCCUGAUGCACCCAUGCCGCGUGUAUGAAGAAGGCCUUAGGGUUGUAAAGUACUUUCAGCGGGGAGGAAGGUGAUAAGGUUAAUACCCUUAUCAAUUGACGUUACCCGCAGAACAAGCACCGGCUAACUCCGUGCCAUCAGCCGCGGUAAUACGGAGGGUGCAAGCGUUAAUCGGAAUUACUGGGCGUAUAGCGCACGCAGGCGGUCAAUUAAGUCACAUGUGAAAGCCCCGAGCUUAACUUGGGAAUUGCAUCUGAAACUGGUUGGCUAGAGUCUUGUAGAGGGGGGUAGAAUUCCAUGUGUAGCGGUGAAAUGCGUAGAGAUGUGGAGGAAUACCGGUGGCGAAAGCGGCCCCCUGGACAUAGACUGACGCUCAUGUGCGAAAGCGUGGGGAGCAACAGGAUU